UUUUUUUUUUUUUUAGUUGCAAUUUUUAAAAAAUCAAAGUAUAAUUGAUACACAGUGCUGGGCCAAUUCCUGCUGUACCCAAUCAGACUUUUUAACUCUUGGCAUCCUAAUACGAAAGUGGCAAAAGGCUCAUCAGCAUAGACCUGUCAUCUAGAAGAGGACCUGGAGGAGACCUUGUUCUGCCUUCUCCCCGUAAGCCUAUAGCCUGCCAAGGAGGAGUUUCAGAGCCAUGCCAUCUUCCUCCGUAUGUUGGACUAGGAGGUGCAGACAUGCCGCUAAGGUCUGCCCAAAGGCACACAUACCUUUUCUUUCCACAGUUUUCUUGUUUUGUUUCUUUCGUUUUGGUCUUUUUAGGGCCACACACGUGGCAUAUGGAAGGUCCCAGGCUAGGGGUGGAAUAGGAGCUGUAAUUGCCAGCCUACACCACAGCCACAGCAACGUGGGAUCUGAGCUGUGUCUGUGACCUACAACACAGCUCACGGCAACACCAGAUCCUUAACCCACUGAGCGAGGUCAGGGAUCAAACUCUUGUCCUUAUGGAUGCUAGUCAGGUUCAUUAACCGCUGAGCCACAAUGGGAGCUCUAUCUUUCCAUGUUAAAGAAAGGGAAAAACAGAAUCAUGAGACAGCUUUCAAACUCAUGUUACAGUCUGACUCAUAACCUAGGACCUUAAUUGUGGUGCUCAAGGCCUAGGGGGGGCCCUGAUACCUGGCUGAUACCAACACAGUGAAUUUCAAACUUGUGCAUCAGAAUUGCCAAAAGGGUUUUGUUAAAAUAUGAAUUGCUGGGCCCUCUCCUCACUUUCUGACUCAGGGUGUCUGGACUGGGGUCUGAGAAUUUCAUGUUGAGUGGGUUCCUGGAUGCCGCUGUCAUUGCUGGUCUGGAAGCUUCUGUUGAGAACCUCUGCUUUAAGAAAUAAAAGAUCCCUAGCCUGGGACCCUCCAUAUGCUGUGGGUGCAGCCCUCAAAAGACAAAAAAGACAAAAAGAAAAGAAUAAAAGAGGUGGAGCUGUGGUGCAGCGGGACAAGAUCCACUCUUGUUCCUGCUGUGGCCUGGAUUCUAUCCCCUGGCCCUGGAACUUCCACAAGGUGUGGGUGCAGCAAGAAAAGAAAAGAAAUAGGUGACAAGGGACCAAGUGUUCACUUACUUCUGUGACCACUCCAGAGUCCAAAAAAACCUCUCCAUCAAGGAAGAGAGCUAGAACAUCACACGGGACGAAUCUGGUACACACAGGCUCAAUUUUCAACGGUGCUGGUGUCCCUUAGUUUCCCAAUUUCUAUCGGUAUCACAUCUAGACUAUUCCAUGGCUCCCAGGAUCUGUGGCUGGAGUGCUUGCUCCAGGCUGAGCUGAGCUGGAGCAGAGGGGUGGCAAUGGGAGGGCUAGCUAGGAUGGGGGCCUCCGUAUCCCUGAGCAGGUGGGUUGAGGACUCAAAGACUAUAUGACGCUGGUUCAGCUCUAAAGGGCAUCCUCCGGAGUUCCCGUUGUGGCUCAGCCGGUCACGAACCCAACUGGUAUCCAUGAGGAUGCAGGUUUGAUCCCUGGCCUCACUCAGUGGGUUACGGAUCCAGUGUGGCUGUGGCUGUGGUGUAGGCAGACAGCUACGGCUCCAGUUUGACCCCUAGCCUGGGAACUUCCACAUGCUUUGGGUGCAGCCCUAAAAAGAAACAAGGAAAAAAAAAAAAAAGCAUCAUCUUGGGCUCCGCCUUUGAGGUUAGUGUCCCUAAAACCAUGUCUCACUCACAGCCACCUCAGUGGGGCAGUGGACCAGAACACGCUAGUUACCCAUCAUCCUAAGAGGGAGCCUUCUGGAAGAGCAUGUGUUGACCCAUCAGCGAUGGUUGGGGGUGAGGGGUGGCUUACAGAGCCCCAUCCAGCUGCAGCUUAGCUAGGGCCCGGGAGUGAGGAAAGGGGAAAAGUGUGAGAAGUUGAGAAGUUCCCCUUGCUGACCCGGAUGAUGUCAGCGCUGCAAAGACUCCUGGGGGAAAGGCGUGACAGCGACAGGAGCGUGCUCUCCCAGAGGCCCUGCGGUAAGGCAUCCCUGAGGUCUCAGGCCGGUCCCUCCUUGACCCUGCCUUACAGGGCCUCACCCCUCCCUCCAGGUUUGAGUGUGGGUGCCCCCCCCCACACACACACGGGAGGGGGCCCACCAUGUGAGGUUCCCACCGCUGUCCACCUGCUCUUGGAAAAUGGCAGGAGACGAAGUGACCUCUGAGACUGCAGGGGUGCCCCUGUGAAGUGUGUGACGCGUAUCUUUAGGGGUGAUGAGAUGGAGAGGUUAACCCCAAACCAGGAAAACCAGGAGGCAAGAAGUGAAAACUGUAAAAACGACUUUUUUUUUCUGAAGUCCUUAAGGAGCCUGGCAGCAGCUGGCUGGAAGGCUGGUAACCCAGAACCAAAGCUUAGUAUGCCAGCCACUAAGGACUCUGUUGGCAGGGGGAUGGGGGUGUCCCCUCCACGGACCUUGAGCAAACCCUCUCCUGCCAGCCUCCGGCUCCCCCUGCAGAGACCAUGUGAACCAGACGCUGUUCUGAGGCUCACGCACGGACAGAGAAGCACCGCAGAGCUACCGUAAAGCAGAGAUUAAAAAAAAAAAAUACUCCACGAAGCUCAGGAGAUAGGAAAUAGCAAUAGCCACCUGCUCUUGCGAGAGACACACACAGACAUCAGGGCCUCCGUUGGCCUCCAGUUACCUAGUGCUUUAUUCUGAGUGCCUAGGCGGGGACUGAGAGCACAGCACGCACAUGGGACAAACGGAUUGGUCUUCUUCCAGAAACAAGGGGCCGAGCAGGCACCUCCCAGGGGCUGGGCGUUGAACCAUACCCUCUGCUUGCAGCGUUGGUAAGGAGGGGGCCUGGGGGCUAGGGGAGGGGCAGCACACACCCCUGUCCUUGAGAGCCUGUGAUCUUCUCAAGGCGCCUGGGGGGGUUGAGUUUCGCUCUGGGACCCGGCUUCUUUUUUUGAGGGAUCCCAGGGGUCUGAGUCGAGAAGCAGGUGGAGGUGCGUAGGUAGGAGGACGCCUUGAGCCUGCUCUGGGCACUCAGGGCGGUGAGAGGAGCGUGGGUUUCGGCUUCCGAGGUCUGGACCAGUGUCCCCAGGGUUCUAGCACCACGAGGGUUGGCCUCCUGCAGUCGCCACGACCCGGAGGUCCCUGGGAGAUGGCCGGUGGCCAGGGGUCCCAGGCUGCAGAGGGAACAUGGAGGCUGAUGCCACCUGGCCGGUUGGGAACACACUUGCUGCAGGAAAGCCACUGACGACUGGGCUCAGGGCAGCGUCCACUGAAAGCAGAGCUGUGGAUCCCAGGCUCAGAGGGGAAACGUGGUAACGCCACAGGCUUCCAGAGCCGCGCUGCCAAGGGUCCAGCUAAAAUUCUCGGUGGUAGCCAUGGUUACAGGGAGGCAGGAAUCGCUUUGCCGGGGUGGGGAGGGGGUGUCUGAGGCAGUUGGAUGGAGGAAGGGGUUCACCCCUUUCCUUUUUCUCAAGUAGCCAGUAACGCCCAGGACCGAAGGCACUGGCUGGGCAGCACCGAGAAGAGAGCUAAGGGCCCGACCGCAGGGCAAAGACGGCCACGGGGCUGGAGCCGAGAAGGGUCAGGAGAGGCCUGCGCCCAAAGCAGGCCCCUCGGGCGAUCUUCCCCUCCUUCCAGGGCAGAACCCCGCUCUGGGCCUCCUCGCUCCGCAGACAGAGACCUUAAGGCAGAGGUGUCAGCACCAGCCUUGGACAAGCAGCCUCCUCCCCGCAGAACUGUACACUGUGCAGCCGAGUUGGGACCACUGCAGCUCACAGACCCAGCAGCGGUACUAACGCCAGCACCUUGGACCCUGCCGCCCCGGGAGCCAUCCGAUGGCUGCAGGAGCUCUUUGAGGGAGCAGCCUGGACUGCCUUCUGGACCCUUUGUCAUCUGAGGAUGCAAAGCAUCAGCUCCUUGGUGUGGUGGGACAGAGCCGGGUGAGCGCGCCGCUGGGUUCUGAGAAGGCCCUGUGCUGUUGGAAGCUGGACUCGAAGGCCUGGGCCCAGGCUUGUCCUGCGUCCCGGUCUCCAGAGCCUGAGACGGCGGCCUACCCAGGAAGCAGGGUAGGCUGGUCGCAUGGGGACUUCAGAAAGGGCAGGACCUGCCCUCACGAGAUAAGCCAGACCCCUAGCUGUCCCCACUGGUUCUGUCCCUCAUUGAUCCCGCUCAGGGCACCAACCCCAGUGCGCGACAGUGACUCCCAGGCUCCUUCCUGGUGGGCUCCUUGGCUUCUGGCUGCAUUUCUUGGGUGAUCCUGAAGGUCCAGAGAGCAGAACAUACAUGCUUGAUGGAGAGAACAUUUCCUACUAGGCUGUGAAUGUAAGGGCCCAAGUCUCUCUUUUUUAACCUAGUGGGUGUAUACAGUAGGUGCCCAAUAAGUGCUUGUCCAAUGGAGGAUUUAAGACUGCCGGACCUUCGGGGCAGCUUCUGCAAGAGGUGGAUCCCUACACAAGGCAGAUCUUUGCCACCAAAUCCAAGUCCUUGAGCCUUAUACACUGACUGGGAGCAUCUCCUAUGGAUUUCCAUGCAUACAUGAACACCCACCUGUUCAGAACCAACAUAAUGGCCAGCUCGGGACUCUAGAUUCAGUUGGACAAAGUGGUGGCCAUCAGAAUAGUGCGGUGAGGGGCCGAACAGGAUACAAGACGGAGGCAUAUUCCUAGUUUCUGGUUUUCCUCCAGCCCAUGGUGCAGCUCAGGGUGGACCUCCCAUCACCACAGGACGAUGCAGUUGUGUGCAGAGGCUGGCUGUUGAGCUCCCGGGCGUAGUGCGUGCUUUCUCACAAGGGAAGUGAGAGCCCUCUUGUCCCACUGCUGCUGAGCUGAUGUUUCCUGUCCCACGUGAGCCCCAAGGAUGCCAGAGACAGGGGCAAUGGUGGGUGGCUAGCUGGUGCCAAUCAGAUGGCAUCAGUGUCCAAAGAGCCACUUGGAAAGGCCAAACCAGCCCCUGGAAAACAAUGCAAGCAGCUCGUGGACACGGGAGGCGAUGGGAAAAAAACCAGAAAAUGAGAAGGAAAGUAAAUCAGCAGAUGGGAGGGGAAAAAAGGGAAACAAAACGAAUGGAAAGC
rnacentral:lncRNA from 1 species